rnacentral:rRNA from 1 species
UACGAAGGGGGCUAGCGUUGUUCGGAAUUACUGGGCGUAAAGCGCACGUAGGCGGAUCGAUCAGUCAGGGGUGAAAUCCCAGGGCUCAACCCUGGAACUGCCUUUGAUACUGUCGAUCUGGAGUAUGGAAGAGGUGAGUGGAAUUCCGAGUGUAGAGGUGAAAUUCGUAGAUAUUCGGAGGAACACCGGUGGCGAAGGCGGCUCACUGGUCCAUUACUGACGCUGAGGUGCGAAAGCGUGGGGAGCAAACAGG